rnacentral:misc_RNA from 1 species
AAACGCUUUAGUAACUAUCAUUCUGCGAGUCACGGAACAUAGUUUACGUCGUGUUGAAAUUCCGCGGGCAUCAGUUUAUGCAUUGUAUCUUCGAUAAACUGGUUCUGCCUAUAUAUCCUAUGUAUAAUGCUCGUAAUAUCAUUUGCAUUUUGACCUAUUCAUCGAAGUUCAUCGUUCCGACAAUCGUGCAGAUUCGUGCAUUACACGCAACGAUCCUCAUUAGGUGAUACGCCGACACGAGUGUAGAGCGUUGGAAUAGUUAACUGCGAAUUAUCCAAUAUGUAGGAUGCCCUUGUCGUAAUCUCUCUCAUAAAUGUCACCCUUGAACACGGGCUGGCCGUUUGCAGCGUUCGUCCCAAGAUCGGUAUUUCCUCCAGCUGGUUUUCUCUCCGUAACCCGUCUGAUCCAUAGAUUCGUCAAUAACAAUCAUUGCAACUUAACACACGUCAGUUGUCGCUAAUGUCGUUUGCCUACUCCCUCGCGAUACUCUCUCAUUAAGCUCGUUAGAAGCCACCUCC